rnacentral:tRNA from 1 species
GAAGGUAUAGCUCGGUGGUAGAGUGCAUGCCUAGCAUGCACAAAGUCCUGGGUUCAAUUCCCAGUACCUCUG